rnacentral:rRNA from 1 species
GAGUUUGAUCCUGGCUCAGGAUGAACGCUGGCGGCGUGCCUAACACAUGCAAGUCGAACGAAGCAAUCGGGAUGAAGUUUUCGGAUGGAUUCCUGGUUGACUGAGUGGCGGACGGGUGAGUAACGCGUGGAUAACCUGCCUCACACUGGGGGAUAACAGUUAGAAAUGGCUGCUAAUACCGCAUAAGCGCACAGUACCGCAUGGUACGGUGUGAAAAACCCAGGUGGUGUGAGAUGGAUCCGCGUCUGAUUAGCCAGUUGGCGGGUAACGGCCCACCAAAGCGACGAUCAGUAGCCGACCUGAGAGGGUGACCGGCCACGAUUGGGACUGAGACACGGCCCAAACUCCUACGGGAGCAGCCAGUGGGGAAUAUGCACAAUGGGCGAAAGCCUGAUGCAGCGACGCCGCGUGAGUGAAGAAGUAUCUCGGUAUGUAAAGCUCUAUCAGCAGGGAGAAAUGACGUACCUGACUAAGAA